UACGUAGGGACCAAGCGUUGUUCGGAUUACUGGGCGUAAAGGGCGCGUAGGCGGCUUAACAAGUCACUUGUGAAAUCUCCGGGCUUAACUCGGAACGGCCAAGUGAAACUGUCAAGCUAGAGUGCAGAAGGGGCAAUCGGAAUUCUUGGUGUAGCGGUGAAAUGCGUAGAUAUCAAGAGGAACACCUGAGGUGAAGACGGGUUGCGUGGGCUGACACUGACGCUGAGGCGCGAAAGCCAGGGGAGCAAACGG
rnacentral:rRNA from 1 species